UGUUGCUAUCCACUACUGAUCCGGUAGGGAGGAAAAGCAGCCCCUCACCCUGCAACUCCCAACAGAUUGAAAAUGGCGAUUUCAUUGACUUGUCUCACCGCAUCCUUCGCCUCUCUCUCCUUCUCCUCUCACGUCUCACAGAGGCCCCGCGCGCUCUCGUUUAGCCAUUCCAAACGCCUCUCUCUGUCUCAUACGCGCAAAAUCCCUAGCUUCGUCGUAGUGGCCUCCGCCGUGGAGGCAGCUCCCUUGACCGAGGACCUGGAAACCGCUGACCUCCAGAAGUAUGUCAAGUCCAGGCUUCCUGGUGGCUUCGCCGCCCAAACUAUAUUCGGAACUGGCCGCCGCAAGUCCGCCAGUGCUCGCGUCGUCCUCAAGGAAGGUUCCGGCAGAGUCAUCAUAAACUAUCGCGACGCCAAGGAAUAUCUUCAAGGAAACCCAUUGUGGAUUCAGUAUGUUAGAACUCCGUUGGUAGUUUUAGGAUAUGAAAGUAGUUAUGAUGUUUUUGUCAAGGCACAAGGUGGUGGUCUUUCUGGACAGGCCCAAGCAAUCUCCCUUGGCAUUGCUCGUGCUCUACUGAAAGUGAGCGAGAGCCAUAGAACACCUUUGAGAGAAGAAGGCCUACUGACCAGAGACUCGAGAGUGGUGGAAAGGAAGAAAGUUGGUCUCAAGAAAGCUCGGAAAGCUCCACAAUAUUCCAAACGUUGAGGUUAGAGUGCUUAAUGCCCAAUAAAAUUAUCAGAGACAAAAGUGUUUGCAUAUUUUGGAUGAUCAUAGGCGAAGCAGUAGGAUUGCUGAUCAUGUAUGGUAUAUCCAAGAGUUUAAGAUGAACCAAUGAGCUAUAUUUUGAGAUAUAUUCCUUGUAAAUUACUCAUUAUGUUGUAGUGUUUUAAAUGAAGAAGAGAACUCAAUUGUCUUGUUACCUGAAAUUACCAUUUUUUUCCUGCUUUUUUCAAUUGGACAAUAACCUUCAUCCUUUGUACUUUGUAGAAUGAAUCCAAUAUUGCCCUCCAAAGAAAUUGAUUUUGAAUU